rnacentral:rRNA from 1 species
CUGGAACGGGACGCCAGAGAGGGUGAGAGCCCCGUAUAGUCGGCCACCGAUCCUUUGUAAAGCUCCUUCGACGAGUCGAGUAGUUUGGGAAUGCUGCUCAAAAUGGGAGGUAUAUCUCUUCUAAAGCUAAAUAUAGGCCAGAGACCGAUAGCGCACAAGUAGAGUGAUCGAAAGAUGAAAAGCACUUUGAAAAGAGGGUUAAAUAGCACGUGAAAUUGUUGAAAGGGAAGCGCUUGUGACCAGACUUGUGCCGGGCUGAUCAUCCAGUGUUCUCACUGGUGCACUCGACCCGGCUCAGGCCAGCGUCGGUUUUCGUGGGGGGAUAAAAGCUUCGGGAACGUGGCACCUUCGGGUGUGUUAUAGCCCGUUGCUUAAUACCUCCGUGGAGACCGAGGU